rnacentral:rRNA from 1 species
AUCGGUGCAGGAUGGGCCCGCGGCCUAUCAGCUUGUUGGUGGGGUAAUGGCCUACCAAGGCGACGACGGGUAGCCGACCUGAGAGGGUGACCGGCCACACUGGGACUGAGACACGGCCCAGACUCCUACGGGAGGCAGCAGUGGGGAAUAUUGCACAAUGGGCGGAAGCCUGAUGCAGCGACGCCGCGUGAGGGAUGAAGGCCUUCGGGUUGUAAACCUCUUUCAGCAGGGACGAAGCGUGAGUGACGGUACCUGCAGAAGAAGCACCGGCUAACUACGUGCCAGCAGCCGCGGUAAUACGUAGGGUGCGAGCGUUGUCCGGAAUUACUGGGCGUAAAGAGUUCGUAGGCGGUUUGUCGCGUCGUUUGUGAAAACCCGGGGCUCAACUUCGGGCUUGCAGGCGAUACGGGCAGACUUGAGUGUUUCAGGGGAGACUGGAAUUCCUGGUGUAGCGGUGAAAUGCGCAGAUAUCAGGAGGAACACCGGUGGCGAAGGCGGGUCUCUGGGAAACAACUGACGCUGAGGAACGAAAGCGUGGGUAGCAAACAGGAUUAGAUACCCUGGUAGUCCACGCCGUAAACGGUGGGCGCUA